AAUCCAGGUUUUAAUAUUCUGCGGUGCAUGCUUGCAAAAGUCACUUCGAAUCUCUUUUGUGUCUUAAAGUGUUGGUCCUCUGGAAAGCAAUAAUUAGGUUGGACCACAUUUUGGUCCAUAACAAGAAAUAGCCUACAUAAUGCCUAGAAAGUGUGAUUUUAUAGCUUCUAAAUAUACACAUCUACUUUCUUAGAUAUUACCUAUUGGACUAAACAGACUGGACCACAACUUUCUGACACAAAACUAGAGGUUUUUCAUUUAUUUAAUUUUAAACAAAUCCUUGAAGCCAAAUAUCAAACAAUUCUAUAUCUUCUUCCUUCACCAGUAAAUGAUGAUGUCCAUAACUUCUGCCAAAAGCAAUCAGAGCAUAAUAAUUGCCGUCAUUUUGUUUGCAUGUUUUACGGCAAUUUUGUAUGUGAAUUACGAGCCAACCACAAGCUGGUUUAAAUGUCCUGCUGCUCCCAUCCACAUGAAUAAUGUCACUGCAGAAAUCUGCCUCAGUGUUUUUAAGAUGCAAAACUACACCCAUAUAGAAAACAACACCUGCACUGUGAACUUCAUCUUGGAAAGACAACAGAUGACAACUACUAAAACAACAAAACAAGUGGCAACAGCGAAGAGAGACGAUCCAGACACCAUUAUUUUGAUCUGGAUGUGGCCUUUUGGAUAUAGUUUUGGCUUUGGACCCUGCAGUUCGGCUUUUAAUAUUCAAGGCUGCCGUUUAACAGAUGACAAAGAUAUGUAUAACCAAGCACAUGGUGUAUGGUUUCAUCAUAGAGAUAUCAAGUGGGAUUUAUCUAAUAUGCCGAAACUACCUCGACCAGCAUUUCAGAAAUGGAUAUGGAUGAAUAUGGAGUCUCCAGCCAAUUCACCACAAAUUCCCCAGCUGAAGGAUCUGUUUAAUUUGACUUCAAGUUAUCGUCGGGAUUCUGAUGUCCAGGUACCUUACGGUUGGCUCUCAGAGGCCACAAUUGAGGAGAAAAAAUAUACAAUCCCACAAAAGGAUAAACUAGUCUGCUGGAUAGUAAGUAACUAUAAUUCACACCAUAAGCGUUCAUAUUACUAUACUGAGUUAUCGAAAUACAUUCACGUGGAGGCUUUUGGAGGACAUUUCAACAGGCGCAUUAAUGGUGAUGAAUAUUCAAAAGUGGUGUCUAGUUGCAAAUUUUACCUCUCAUUUGAGAGUUCCAUUCAUAGAGACUACAUUACAGAAAAACUGUACAACCCUCUAUUGCUUGGUACGGUUCCUGUUGUUCUUGGCCCGCCCAGAGAGAACUAUGAGCAGUUCAUACCGAGCAAAGCCUUCAUCCAUGUAGAUGACUUCCCCUCUCCCAAAGAACUGGCAGAUCAUCUCAAUUUUAUGGACCAAAAUGAGAACAUGUAUAGGCAGUAUUUUACCUGGAGAGAACAUUUCGUUUCAAGAGCAUCUGCAUUUGGUCUUGAACAUGCCUGUCGGGCUUGUGAACAUAUCAGAAAAAAUAAGAACUACAGAGUAGUUAAAGAUCUCAACAGCUGGUACUUCAGUUAGCGCAGGAAUACAAAAAAAACAAAAAAAAAAACUACACUGGGGGCUUGCAGCUCACAAAAACUCAUAAUUUGUAUAAGACUGUAAGAUAUUGUAUGACUUGGCUCGUACAAAAGGUACAACUUUAUUCCCAUACAAACUGACCAAUCAGCAAAGAGAAUUUCAAAUGGAUAUAAUACAGGCAUCACAUUUUAGCUAGGCUCCUAUCCAACAUUUUUUUUUUUUUUUAAGGUUUGGAUAGGGGGUUAGACUUGAUGGUUAGGUGUGGAUUUGAGGUUAAAUUUAUAACUUAUAAUAAAAAUCAUAACAUUGCCCUGAUAGCACACUUACAUCACCAAGAUGUGUAUUUUACAUCUGGAAGACAUAUUUUUUUUUAGGUUGUUUGCUAAUCUGCAAUACGUCAAUAAGAUUUUUCCUCUCGGAUAUCAAUAUGACAUUUACUAGAUGUCUUUGAAACAUUUAUGAUUUAGAAUAUUUGUAAAUAUGAUCAUUUUAAGAUGUUUAACAGAUGUUAAUUAGAAUGCAAUGCUUUUCAGAUGAAACAGACAUCUUGAAGGUGUGCGUAAGCUAUCUGGGAUCGUUUGUUGGUUCGUUAUUUUUCUCUAUGCGAGUAGAAGUCAUACAGUUUCUUAUGAAUUUGUCAUCUUGUACUAUCAUGACUUAUUGUCCCCAUUCCUGUACCAUACUCUGGGCCUCCCAACUUUUCUAAAUGAAGUGAUCUAUUUUUACUCUUGCAAUGUCCAUUUUGAUCAAUCAAUUUGUCCUCUCAUUUUUGUGCCCAACACUCCUCAUUUUCUGUCCAAUGAAUGCACAUCAAUCCCACCAUCAUUUACUCACCCUCAUGCCAUCCCAGAUGUGUAUGACUUCGUUCUUCUGCUGAACACAGAUGAAGAUUUUGAGAAGAAUAUCUCUGCUCUGUAGGUCCAUACAAUACAAUGGCCAGAACUCUGAAGAUCCAAAUAUUUUUGGGUGAACUAUCCCUUUAAUGCCAGAAUACCACAAAAAAAAAGUUAAAAGAGCUAUUUCCAUAUCAGUGUCAUUGACAGGUUUCUAAUUGAGGAGCUGACAUCUUCACAAAUAAAAUCAAAGGUAACAUUUGCAUUUUUACAGCAUGAAUAUUUAUUUUAAUUCAAUGUUGGCACUAAACUAAAAACUAAACUGCCAACAACAACAACUACAAGUUACAUCAAGAUAUUUCAGAAUAGUCUGCUAAAUUGCUAAAUCAAUAAUUUCUAGUACUAAUCUUAUAAAAGUUAUGUCUGUUCCUCAGUGUUAGAAUCAUUUAAUCUGGCUUGCAAAGUGUGUUGCUGUUUUUUCAUUCUUUUUUACAAACUGUGGGACAGGACAAAAUUAUUUUCUGUGUUAAUUGAAAGCGUGCCACAGAUAACCUAAACAUUUG